CACGUAGGGGGCGAGCGUUGUCCGGAUUUAUUGGGCGUAAAGAGCUCGUAGGCGGCUCAGUAAGUCAGGUGUGAAAACUCCAGGCUCAACCUGGAGACGCCACUUGAUACUGCUGUGGCUAGAGUCCGGUAGGGGAGCAUGGAAUUCCUGGUGUAGCGGUGAAAUGCGCAGAUAUCAGGAGGAACACCAGUGGCGAAGGCGGUGCUCUGGGCCGGAACUGACGCUGAGGCGCGAAAGCUAGGGGAGCAAACGGG
rnacentral:rRNA from 1 species